rnacentral:lncRNA from 1 species
GCCAUUUUUCUGCAAUGGAAUUAAAUGGCCAAAGCAGUAAACAGUCCUCAGCGAAGCCGCCUUUUUGCCUACCCAACCCUGGAAAGUUUGCAGAAGUGGAAGGAGCAGAACGUGAGGGUGUAACUUACAAAAAGGUUCUGGGCCGGAGAAGGGGCGACGUUCGGGCACCCCCCGAAUGGACAAUCUUUCCUUCUGUCAACGGCAGGGGCAGGCCUAGUUUGACUCUGACAGUCCUCCCACUAAGGAAUUCCUGGUGACUGGAAGGGGGAGUGACUCAGGCCCUCAACCUCUAGCAGGUAAGGGAGCUGCCUCCUGGGUGGGCAUGCCCAGUUCCUCAGUGGGCCCAGCGCGGCCCAGCCUCCGAGGAAGCUCUGAGCAGCUGGCUUGGCUCGGAGGUAUUUUUAGCUACAGAUCCAGCCCCCCUCCAUCACAACAGUCGAGUCCAAAUCAAACGCACUCCAGGCAGGUGGGGCUGGGGUUCUGCCAGCCUCCUGGCCAGCAGGGGUGGGUGGGCAGACUGGGGCCAGUAUCAGCUGUUCUGCCUGGACCCAGGCCGGGCUGGGAAGGCACACUUGUGCUUAUUUCCCGCCUCCACUUCUGUGCAAGCUUGUGCUGUCAUAAGCAGAGAUCACAGCCCCAUUUCUUGGAUGGAGAAAGUGGACACUGAGGUCUGAGGCUUUUGAGGACAGUCAGGAGCCCUCCUAUGGGCUCCAGUGAUGCACUCACCAGCUUCUGGUCCUCUUCUUCCACCUCUUAGAGUGCCUUGGCUCCCUCCUGUCGUCCUGGGGAACCUCGGCCCCAGCCCUGCCUCCCCAGCCAGUCACAGCUCCUCCCUGGUCACCCUGAGGGAGCUCAGGGCCCGGCUGGUAGCUGGGCUGCUCUCCUUCUGUCCCCCACUCCCGUGGAGCCUGGCAGGCAACUCCAUGAUCUGACCCCGGUUACCUUGACAGCCCUGCCUGGCCUCCCCUCUCAUGGCCCAGCCACCCCAGAACCUGAAGAGGUUUUCUAGCUGCCGUGCAUUUGCCAGGCUGGGUUACCCACCCUACUUUCCCUGCCUGCCCUCCAGUGCUGCCAGGCCUAGUGUGCCAGCCUUCCGUAAAGGGUUCCCCUGCUUCCAACCUCCAUUGCACUGCUUCCCCUAAGACUGUGACCUCCUGGAAGGCUGGAGCACAACUGCCUCUCAAUAAACGUGUUGCCAAAAAGGAA